rnacentral:rRNA from 1 species
AUACGGGAGGCAGCAGUAAGGAAUAUUGGUCAAUGGACGCAAGUCUGAACCAGCCAUGCCGCGUGAAGGAUGAAGGUCCUCUGGAUUGUAAACUUCUUUUAUAUGGGAAGAAAUUCUCGCAUUCUUGCGGGAUUGACGGUACCAUUGGAAUAAGCACCGGCUAACUCCGUGCCAGCAGCCGCGGUAAUACGGAGGGUGCAAGCGUUAUCCGGAUUCACUGGGUUUAAAGGGUGCGUAGGAGGGCAGGUAAGUCAGUGGUGAAAUCUCCAAGCUUAACUUGGAAACUGCCGUUGAUACUAUCUGUCUUGAAUACCGUGGAGGUGAGCGGAAUAUGUCAUGUAGCGGUGAAAUGCUUAGAUAUGACAUAGAACACCAAUUGCGAAGGCAGCUCGCUACACGAAUAUUGACUCUGAGGCACGAAAGCGUGGGGAUCAAACAGGAUUAGAAACCCUAGUAGUCCU